UACGUAGGGUGCGAGCGUUGUCCGGAAUUACUGGGCGUAAAGAGCUCGUAGGCGGUUUGUCGCGUCGUCCGUGAAAACUUGGGGCUCAACCCCAAGCUUGCGGGCGAUACGGGCAGACUUGAGUACUGCAGGGGAGACUGGAAUUCCUGGUGUAGCGGUGAAAUGCGCAGAUAUCGGGAGGAACACCAGUAGCGAAGGCGGCACUCUGGGCCGGUACUGACGCUGAGGAGCGAAAGCGUGGGGAGCAAACAGG
rnacentral:rRNA from 1 species